AACGAACGCUGGCGGCAUGCCUAACACAUGCAAGUCGAACGAGACCUUCGGGUCUAGUGGCGCACGGGUGCGUAACGCGUGGGAACCUGCCCUUAGGUUCGGAAUAACUCCCCGAAAGGGGUGCUAAUACCGGAUAAUGUCUUCGGACCAAAGAUUUAUCGCCUUUGGAUGGGCCCGCGUUGGAUUAGCUAGUUGGUAGGGUAAAAGCCUACCAAGGCGACGAUCCAUAGCUGGUCUGAGAGGAUGGUCAGCCACACUGGGACUGAGACCCGGCCCAGACUCCCACGGGAAGGCGGAGGGGGGGAAAUUGGAAAAAGGGGGGAAGGCUGAACCAGCAAAGGCGGGUUGAGGAAGAAAGGCUUAAGGGUGGAAAGCUUCUUUACCCGGGAUGAUAAUGACAGUACCGGGAGAAUAAGCUCCGGCUAACUCCGUG
rnacentral:rRNA from 1 species